rnacentral:lncRNA from 8 species
AUGAAAGGCAAUUUUUCCAUUGGCAACCAGACCAACAUCACCAGUCAUUCCGCUCCACCAAAAACUCCCCAAAAAUCUGUCGUACCCAGCUUCACCAUUGCCAACUUUACAGGCGGCAAAGUGCGUCUCUACUACAAGUCAGAGGAGAUGGCUCUCAGUGACCUCAUCGAGGGGUGUAAACUCAAGAAGGGCGACUCCAUGCUCAUCCUGGAAGGCACCGUUAAGAAGAGCGUUCUCCCGCAUAAACUCUAUGUCACUGGCUUCCAAGUAGAAAAUGACAAUACUCAAUUAUGCCCUGAGGAAGGCCCAAUUUAUGGGAUGAACAACCUCCUGGCAGAGUAUGCUGAGGGUCAACCCAAGUCCUACAUCCUCACUGCUGACAAAGAGGUGAAGAUAGCUGAAACAGGAAAGAUCUGGGUGGAUGAGGACGGGUUGGAUCACAACCCCAAAAAGUAACGCCACCAGAGAACCUCCUGUAUAUUAACACCCUUUAUUAAUCACAGAUUAAACUACUUACAAAUUAUUGAUGAAAAAUAAAGAGAGUAUACAUCACAGAUAAGUGAAAUAGUGCUUCAAGAUACACUCUGUGUAUGGUAGAAAUCAGCAAUGUUAUCACUGUAGUUUUGUGACAAAUAAAUAAAUGUUACCUAACUGAGAAAACGUUAGUGUGUGUGUGUGUGUGUGUGUGAUUACAUUACAUGAUUGGAGAUGCCACCAGAUAUGCUACAUACGGAUACUUAUGUUAACAAAGGUCAACAACACAAGAUUGUAAUAUACGUUUUAUUUCUAUGGUUGUAGUCAUUUUAUUUCAAGCAUACAAAGUGAUGGUGCAAGACACUUACAGGGAGCACAAAUAUAUAUAGCAGAGAAAAAGCCUGCAUAUUUCCUCAUUACCUUGGAAUUGAAGAUCAUGUGAACUAGAAUGUUAGAUACAGUGCAUUCGGAAAGUGUUCAGAACCCUUCAGACUUUUUCUACAUUUUGUUACGUUACAGUCAUAUUCUAAAAUGGAUUAAAUACUUUUUUCUACACACAAUGCCCCAUAAUGACAAAGCAAAAACAGAUUUUUAGACAUUUUUGCAAAUGUAAAUGUAUUAAAAACUCCAAAAUAACUUAUUUACCUGUACAUACGAAUUCAGAUCCUUUGCUAUGAUCGAAAUUGAGUUCAGUUGUAUCCUGUUUCCAUUAAUCAUCCUUGAGAUGUUUCUAUAACUUGAUUGGAGUCCACCUGUGGUAAAUUCAAUUGGUUGGACAUGAUUUGGAAAGGCACACACCUGUCUAUAUAAGGUUCCACAGUUGACAGUGCAUGUCAGAGCAAAAACCAAGCCAUGAGGACAAAAGAAUUGUCCAUAGACCUUCAAGACAGGAUUGUGUCAAGUCCCAAAUCUGGGGAAGGGUACCAAAACAUUUCUGCAGCAUUGAAGGUUCCCAAGAAUACAGUGGCCUCUAUCAUUCUUAAAUGCAAGAAGUUUGGAACCUUCAAGAAUCUUCCUAGAGCUCGCCACCCGGCCAAAUUGAGCAAUCAAUUGUCCGAUUUCAAAAAGGCUUUACAGCGAAAGCAAAACAUCAGAUUAUGUUAGGAGAGUACAUCGACAAAAAUAACCACACAGCCAUUUUCCAAGCAAGGAGAUAUGUCACAAAAACCCAAAACACAGCUAAAUGAAGCACUAACCUUUGACGAUCUUCAUCAGAUGACACUCCUAGGACAUUAUGUUACACAAUACAUGUAUGUUUUGUUCGAUAAAGUUCAUAUUUACAUCCAAAAACAGCGUGAUGUUCAGAAAAUGUAUUCCCACCAAAACUUCCUGUGAAUGUGCACAUCAAUUUACAAAAAUACUCAUCAUAAACGUUGACAAAAUACAUAACAAUUAUUUUAAGAAUUAUAGAUACAGUACUCCUUUAUGCAACCGUUGUGUCAGAUUUUAAAAUAGCUUUUCGGCGAAAGCACAUUUUUCAAUAUUCUGAGUACAUAGCUCGCCAUCAAAGCAAG